rnacentral:rRNA from 1 species
UACGAAGGAUGCGAGCGUUAUCCGGAUUUAUUGGGUUUAAAGGGCGCGUAGGCGGCUUAUUAAGUCAGUGGUGAAAUCCUCAAGCUUAACUUGGGAAUUGCCAUUGAUACUGAUGAGCUUGAGUACACUUGAGGUAGGCGGAAUGUGUCAUGUAGCGGUGAAAUGCUUAGAUAUGACACAGAACACCGAUUGCGAAGGCAGCUUACUAAAGUGUAACUGACGCUGAGGCACGAAAGCGUGGGGAUCAAACAGG